UUGCCUUCGCCUCCGCCCAGCCUGGGGCCCAACCAUCAAAGCCUAGAUCACGGCCACGACACCUGCGCGAAGCAGCCUCCACCUCCGUUACGGCCACGAGCACCCGGUUCCAUGACCGCACACGGCAGCCUCGGCCUCCAUGGCCUGUGGGCGGCAACAAGCUGAGCCCGUGCAGAUCCAGGUCGGAAGACUGUAGAUCCGGCGAUAGCAGCACCGGAUCUGGCCGUCGAUGCCAACUCGCCCACGACCAGCAGGUGCCGGUGGUGGCAAGGAUGUCCGUCGGGUGAG
rnacentral:lncRNA from 1 species